rnacentral:rRNA from 1 species
UACGGACUGAGAUAAUGGUUAACAGAGACAAACGGGGGCAUUUGUAUGGUCCCGUGAGAGGUGAAAUUCUUGGACCGUGGCCAGACAAACUACAGCGAAAGCAUUUGCCAAGAAUGUUUUUAUUAAUCAAGAACGAAAGUCAGAGGUUCGAAGGCGAUCAGAUACCGCCCUAGUUCUGACCGUAAACGAUGCCAACUAGCGAUCCGCCGAUGGAAAUUAUAUUGCCUUGGUGGGGAGCUUCCCGGAAACGAAAGUCUUCCGGUUCUGGGGGAAGUAUGGUUGCAAAGCUGAAACUUAAAGGAAUUGACGGAAGGGCACCACCAGGAGUGGAGCCUGCGGCUUAAUUUGACUCAACACGGGGAAACUCACCCGGCCCGGACACUGUGAGGAUUGACAGAUUGAUAGCUUUUUCAUGAUUCAGUGGAUGGUGGUGCAUGGCCGUUCUUAGUUCGUGGAGUGAUUUGUCUGGUUUAUUCCGAUAACGAGCGAGACUCUAACCUACUAAAUAGUUGGUACAUACUCUUAGUGUAUACAGCUUCUUAGAGGGAUUUGCGGCGUUCAGCCGAAAGAAAUUGAGCAAUAACAGGUCUGUGAUGCCCUUAGAUGUCCGGGGCUGCACGCGCGCUACACUGGCAAAAUCAACGUGCUUGUCCUACCCUGAAAGGGGCGGGUAAACCAUUGAAAAUUUGCCGUGAUUGGGAUCGGAAAUUGCAAUUAUUUUCCGUGAACGAGGAAUUCCAAGUAAGUGCGAGUCAUCAGCUCGCGUUGAUUACGUCCCUGCCCUUUGUACACACCGCCCGUCGCUGCCCGGGACUGAGCCAUUUCGAGAAAUUUGGGGACCGUUGAUUUAAUUUUUCUAAAUUACUUUGAUGGAAACCAAUUUAAUCGCAGUGGCUUGAACC